rnacentral:rRNA from 1 species
GAUGAACGCUAGCGACAGGCUUAACACAUGCAAGUCGAGGGGCAGCAUAGAGAGUAGCAAUACUUUCGGGUGGCGACCGGCGCACGGGUGAGUAACGCGUAUGCAACCUACCUAUCAGAGGGGGAUAGCCCAUUGAAAGAUGGAUUAAUACCGCAUAAAACAGGGGUCCCGCAUGGGAAUAUUUGUUAAAGAUUUAUUGCUGAUAGAUGGGCAUGCGUUCCAUUAGCUGGUUGGUAAGGUAACGGCUUACCAAGGCAUCGAUGGAUAGGGGUUCUGAGAGGAAGGUCCCCCACACUGGUACUGAGACACGGACCAGACUCCUACGGGAGGCAGCAGUGAGGAAUAUUGGUCAAUGGGCGAGAGCCUGAACCAGCCAAGUCGCGUGAAGGAUGACAGCCUUAUGGGUUGUAAACUUCUUUUAUUUGGGAAUAAAAAGGGGGACGUGUUCCCUGUUGCAUGUACCAAAUGAAUAAGCAUCGGCUAACUCCGUGCCAGCAGCCGCCGUAAUAC